UUUUGUUGGAAGAAGUUCAGAAUGUAACGGUACCUAAGAAAAUACGGUUUGGAUCAAAAGAAAGCAAAUCUAGUAAAAGAAAGGCAGAUAGACGCCGUUCGGAGUGGAUAUUUGUGCAGCUGCCUAUCCACGAUGGAUGGAACUCAUGGAGCAAAAUGCAUUCAAAGCUGAUGUGUCAAUUCUUCUUGCACAGACAACAUGUGGGGCUUCAAGAGUGAACUGACCCUACGCCGGUGACAGCCGAGAUUUCUGGGGAAAUGAGGCGGAAAUACUUCCUGUUUUGACAGUUAUGUCCUUCAGCUAUAAGGGGACACAAAAUAAUUACCUAAUAGUGAGGUAUCAGUUAAUAAUGCUUUAUUCCAGUUCAGUGGUUACCCAGAGGGCCAAAAGAGUGUGUACUAAUGUUUGGGUAAUAGUUAGACAACUAGUGAUAGCACAUUAUGCUCCCUUCAAGAAUGACAGGAUUGUGUAAAAGUGAAUAAAGACAACUUAUGUGUU